GAACGAGACCUUCGGGUCUAGUGGCGCACGGGUGCGUAACGCGUGGGAAUCUGCCCUUGGGUUCGGAAUAACAGUUAGAAAUGACUGCUAAUACCGGAUGAUGACGUAAGUCCAAAGAUUUAUCGCCCAAGGAUGAGCCCGCGUAGGAUUAGCUUGUUGGUGAGGUAAAAGCUCACCAAGGCGACGAUCCUUAGCUGGUCUGAGAGGAUGAUCAGCCACACUGGGACUGAGACACGGCCCAGACUCCUACGGGAGGCAGCAGUGGGGAAUAUUGGACAAUGGGCGAAAGCCUGAUCCAGCAAUGCCGCGUGAGUGAUGAAGGCCUUAGGGUUGUAAAGCUCUUUUACCCGGGAUGACAAUGACAGUACCGGGAGAAUAAGCUCCGGCUAACUCCGUG
rnacentral:rRNA from 1 species